UACGUAGGCAGCGAGCGUUGUUCGGAGUUACUGGGCGUAAAGGGUGUGUAGGCGGUUGUUUAAGUUUGGUGUGAAAUCUCCCGGCUCAACCGGGAGGGUGCGCCGAAUACUGAAUGACUUCGAGUGCGGGAGAGGAGAGUGGAAUUCCUGGUGUAGCAGUGAAAUGCGUAGAUAUCAGGAGGAACACCGAUGGCGAAGGCAGGUCUCUGGGCUGACACUGACGCUCAUGCACGAAAGCGUGGGGAGCAAACAGG
rnacentral:rRNA from 1 species